rnacentral:lncRNA from 1 species
AUCUCCGGAACUGCAAGCAUUUUGGUAAGGUGGAAGCAGAAGUGUGUGUGAAGGAAGAAUGUAGGAUGAGUUGAGAGGGGUAGGAGACAGAUCAUCUAAAAGAGCCUCAGGAUCAAAAGAAGCUUUAGAGUCUUUCCUGUUGCUAUCGACCCAUUGAGAUCGGCUCUGCAGCCAGAGGCCUCGCUGUGAUCCGCCGAACGCCAGGGAUUAGUGAAGAUUCCACAAGAGAUUUGAACAGUACCCAACGGAGUCCUGCUUUUGUUGCCCAGGC